rnacentral:rRNA from 1 species
UACGUAGGGUGCAAGCGUUGUCCGGAAUUAUUGGGCGUAAAGAGCUCGUAGGCGGUCUGUCGCGUCGGCUGUGAAAUCCCGGAGCUCAACUCCGGGUCUGCAGUCGAUACGGGCAGACUGGAGUUCGGCAGGGGAGACUGGAAUUCCUGGUGUAGCGGUGAAAUGCGCAGAUAUCAGGAGGAACACCGGUGGCGAAGGCGGGUCUCUGGGCCGAUACUGACGCUGGAGGUGCGAAAGCGUGGGGAGCAAACAGG